UCGAGCGAGCUGCCUUGAAGAUCGGAGUGCUUGCACUCUGUGAAACAAGAUACAGGCUAGCGGCGGACGGGUGAGUAACACGUGGGUAACCUGCCCAAGAGAUCGGGAUAACACCUGGAAACAGAUGCUAAUACCGGAUAACAACAGAUGAUGCCUAUCAACUGUUUAAAAGAUGGUUCUGCUAUCACUCUUGGAUGGACCUGCGGUGCAUUAGCUAGUUGGUAGGGUAACGGCCUACCAAGGCGAUGAUGCAUAGCCGAGUUGAGAGACUGAUCGGCCACAUUGGGACUGAGACACGGCCCAAACUCCUACGGGAGGCAGCAGUAGGGAAUCUUCCACAAUGGACGCAAGUCUGAUGGAGCAACGCCGCGUGAGUGAAGAAGGGCUUCGGCUCGUAAAGCUCUGUUGUUGGUGAAGAAGGACGGGGGUAGUAACUGACCUUUGUUUGACGGUAAUCAAUUAGAAAGUCACGGCUAACUACGUGCCAGCAGCCGCGGUAAUACGUAGGUGGCAAGCGUUGUCCGGAUUUAUUGGGCGUAAAGCGAGUGCAGGCGGCUCGAUAAGUCUGAUGUGAAAGCCUUCGGCUCAACCGGAGAAUUGCAUCAGAAACUGUCGAGCUUGAGUACAGAAGAGGAGAGUGGAACUCCAUGUGUAGCGGUGAAAUGCGUAGAUAUAUGGAAGAACACCGGUGGCGAAGGCGGCUCUCUGGUCUGUUACUGACGCUGAGGCUCGAAAGCAUGGGUAGCGAACAGGAUUAGAUACCCUGGUAGUCCAUGCCGUAAACGAUGAGUGCUAAGUGUUGGGAGGUUUCCGCCUCUCAGUGCUGCAGCUAACGCAUUAAGCACUCCGCCUG
rnacentral:rRNA from 1 species